rfam:Apaloderma vittatum contig75322, whole genome shotgun sequence.
UAGCUCAGUCAGUUGAGCGUAGCACUAACAAUGCUAAGGUCACAGGUUCGAUUCCCGU